UGUCGGCCGCUGAUGCUCGGUCGUUGGAGUGAGCUUUUAGUGCCUGUGUGCGUUUUGUGUAUGGAUUGAGGCGCUACGACAGUACUCGGGAUCACGUUGAAGGAUUGUUAGGUUGUGAAAUUAUGACGUAUCUGAAGCGUCGUCGCUGCUCGUUUAUGCAUGGCCUUGUAGGGAACCGAAGUUUCUCUUCGAUAAGCUGGCUGAUGGAAGGUCUGGGCGUAGUCGUCAGUAUGCUAUUCCGAGGCAUGUUUCUGCCCAGUACAACAGGUCGUUCUUUGUUAGAACCGUCGCUGACUAUAAUACGAUUCCUGUCGGUGUGAAAAUGCUUAACUCCCUGUCCAGGUUUUCUGACGCGUGUCUGGAUCUUUUUCGUCCUCACUAAAGUCGUUCUCGAUCGGUUUGUACGGAUUGGGCUUGCUUGUCGGCUCUAUGAUUGGGAAAAUCCGUUUUUGGACUAUUUUGUUCCGAUUCAUCGUAUGUUAAAUGUUCUUGGACGUAGUGUCUGGUAGCACCUUGGAGUAAGUUUUUUUAAUUUAUGUUAUUAUUUUCUCAUUUAUUGCCGCAUUGAAGUAGUUUUGUGUUUUUAAUGUUUCUCGUUUUAAUUUGGUUUUUUCUUUCCAUUGUGUUGAUAGAGAGAGUUUUAUAGUGUGAA